rnacentral:rRNA from 1 species
UACGUAGGGUGCAAGCGUUGUCCGGAAUUAUUGGGCGUAAAGAGCUCGUAGGCGGCUUGUCGCGUCGGCUGUGAAAACCUGGGGCUCAACCCCGGGCCUGCAGACGAUACGGGCAAGCUAGAAUUCGGUAGGGGAGACUGGAAUUCCUGGUGUAGCGGUGAAAUGCGCAGAUAUCAGGAGGAACACCGGUGGCGAAGGCGGGUCUCUGGGCCGCAACUGACGCUGAGGAGCGAAAGCAUGGGGAGCGAACAGG